rnacentral:rRNA from 1 species
UGCGUAGGCGGGUUUCUAAGUCAGAGGUGAAAGCCUGGAGCUCAACUCCAGAACUGCCUUUGAUACUGGAAGUCUUGAGUAUGGCAGAGGUGAGUGGAACUGCGAGUGUAGAGGUGAAAUUCGUAGAUAUUCGCAAGAACACCAGUGGUGAAGGCGGCUCACUGGGCCAUUACUGACGCUGAGGCACGAAAGCGUGGGAGCAAACA